GACGAACGCUGGCGGCGUGCCUAAUACAUGCAAGUCGAGCGCAGGAAACUGACGGAACUCUUCGGAGGGAAGGCAGCGGAAUGAGCGGCGGACGGGUGAGUAACACGUAAGGAACCUGCCUCAAGGAUUGGGAUAACUCCGAGAAAUCGGAGCUAAUACCGGAUAGUUCAACGGACCGCAUGGUCCGCUGAUGAAAGGCGCUCCGGCGUCACCUUGAGAUGGCCUUGCGGUGCAUUAGCUAGUUGGUGGGGUAACGGCCCACCAAGGCGACGAUGCAUAGCCGACCUGAGAGGGUGAUCGGCCACACUGGGACUGAGACACGGCCCAGACUCCUACGGGAGGCAGCAGUAGGGAAUCUUCCACAAUGGACGAAAGUCUGAUGGAGCAACGCCGCGUGAGUGAUGAAGGUUUUCGGAUCGUAAAACUCUGUUGUAAGGGAAGAACACGUACGAGAGGAAAUGCUCGUACCUUGACGGUACCUUACGAGAAAGCCACGGCUAACUACGUGCCAGCAGCCGCGGUAA
rnacentral:rRNA from 1 species